rnacentral:rRNA from 1 species
UACGUAGGAGGCGAGCGUUGUCCGGAUUUACUGGGCGUAAAGCGCGCGCAGGCGGCAGUGCAAGUAAGGUGUGAAAUCUCCCUGCUCAACGGGGGAGGGUGCACUUUAGACUGCACAGCUCGAGGUCGGUAGAGGGGGGUGGAAUUGCUGGUGUAGCGGUGAAAUGCGUAGAGAUCAGCAGGAACACCCGGUGGCGAAGGCGGGUCCC